rnacentral:misc_RNA from 1 species
GGAAGGAUCAUUAACAAGCCGUGGGGAUCACCCUGAAAGGGGCACAUUCCUCACCUGGCCACCCUUGUUUACUUUAACGCCUUGUUGCUUUGGUGAGCCUGCCAUCAGGCUGCCGGUGAAACUGAGUUUCCGGGUUCGUGUUCACCAAGCUUUUAACUAAAUCUGUAAAGUCUUGUUGUCUGAGUGGGAAAGCACAACGAUAAAAAACUUUCAACAACGGAUCUCUUGGUUCCGGCAUCGAUGAAGAACGCAGCGAAAUGCGAUAAGUAAUGUGAAUUGCAGAAUUCCGUGAAUCAUCGAAUCUUUGAACGCAUAUUGCGCCCUCUGGUAUUCCGGGGGGCAUGCCUGUCCGAGCGUCAUUAUCCACAACUCAAGCACGGCUUGUUUGUUGAGCAAAUUGCUUCUGUAACUGGGAGCAGGCUCGAAAUGCAGUGGUGAACGAUACUGUGUUCGAUUGCCAGAGUGUUAUGGGGCUUUGUCAUACACUCUUGUGGCUCAACCGGCGUUCUACCGUCUUUAUAACUUUAUAACUAGGUUGACCUCGGAUCAGGUAAGAGUACCCGCUGAACUUAAGCAUAUCAAUAAGCGGAGGAAAAGAAACCAACAGGGAUUGCCUUAGUAACGGCGAGUGAAGCGGCAAAAGCUCAAAUUUGAAAUCUGGCUUCCAUUUCUUGGGGCCCGAGUUGUAAUUUGCAGAGGAUGCUUUGGGUGUGGUUGUGGUCUAAGUUUCCUGGAAUGGGGCAUCAUAGAGGGUGAGAAUCCCGUCUGUGACUGCUAGCCAUGCCCGUGUAAAGCUCCUUCGACGAGUCGAGUUGUUUGGGAAUGCAGCUCUAAAUGGGUGGUAAAUUUCAUCUAAAGCUAAAUAUUGGCCGGAGACCGAUAGCGCACAAGUAGAGUGAUCGAAAGAUGAAAAGCACUUUGAAAAGAGAGUUAAACAGCAUGUGAAAUUGUUGAAAGGGAAGCGCUUGCGACCAGAUUCGCUUACAGAGGCUCAGCCGGCAUGUUUUGGCGGUGCAUUCCUCUGUGAGCGAGCCAGCGUCGGUUCUAAUGGUUGGUUAAAGGCCCCUGGAAUGUGUCGUCUUUCGGGACGUCUUAUAGCCAAGGGUGCAAUGCAGCCUGUUGGGACCGAGGAACGCGCUUCGGCACGGACGCUGGCAUAAUGGUCGUAAGCGACCCGUCUUGAAACACGGACCAAGGAGUCUAACAUCCACGCGAGUGUUCGGGUGUCAAACCCGUGCGCGCAGUGAAAGCGAACGGAGGUGGGAUCCUUUUUUUCAAGAGGUGCACCAUCGACCGAUCCUGAUGUAUUCGGAUGGAUUUGAGUAAGAGCGUGGCUGUUGGGACCCGAAAGAUGGUGAACUAUGCCUGAAUAGGGUGAAGCCAGAGGAAACUCUGGUGGAGGCUCGCAGCGGUUCUGACGUGCAAAUCGAUCGUCAAAUUUGGGUAUAGGGGUAAGUUUUGACACCGCGUGCCUGAUUUUGUUUUGUUUUUGUUUUUUUCCUCACGUGUUUUUCCUUUACUAGUUUAGUUCCAUCACAUGACAAAUGCUAACUAAUCCCAGGCGAAAGACUAAUCGAACCAUCUGGUAGCUGGUUCCUGC